rnacentral:rRNA from 1 species
ACUAGGAUUAGAUACCCUACUAUGCUUAAGCACAACUAAGACUCAGUCCGCCAGAAAAUUACGAGCGAAAGCCUAAAACUCAAAAGACUUGACGGUGCCCCAACCUUCCUAGAGGAGCCUGUUCCAUAAUCGACACCCCACGAUACACCUAACCACUAUUAGUAACCCCAGCCUAUAUACCGCCGUCGCACAGCCCACCUUUUAAAGAACACAAGUGGGCCCAAUAGCAAUAUGCUAACAAGUCAGGUCAAGGUGUAGCUUAUAUGGUGGAGGAAAUGGGCUACAUUAUUUAUAAUAAAUAAGACGAACUUACUACACCAUGAAAAAGAAAAUGAAGGCGGAUUUAGCAGUAAUUUAAACGAGAAAUAUUUAAAUUAACACCAGCUCUGGGGCAUGUACACACCGCCUGCACCCU